rnacentral:misc_RNA from 2 species
GUGGGUGGACAGGCUCCCUGCUUGUGCAGCGAACUGUUUAACGUACGUAUCAUCAUGUUAGUCUCAAUUGCCUUGAUUGCACAUUGGGCUACCUUUGGUUUCUGUGUUGGUUACCUACUCGGAAGGAAAUUGUCCCUCAUCUUUGUAUCACAUUGCCGUGAACCCAUUUAUGGGAUGCUCGGUUUUGUCAAUAGUUUGCAUAUUCCAUUCACGGUCUACUACAAUGUAGUGGUGACAUGGCCUAUGCAUAAAAAACUAUUCGUACUCGUGGAUGCAGAACAUUGUAGUGGGUAAUUGGGUCACUGCCCUUUUAAGCCCAGGCAGAGCUUCUUAUGCUCGGCAUGUACGACAGCUGUGAUUGCGUUGACCUUCCCAACUUUGCUGAUGGGAGGGCUCAU